UACGAAGGGGGCUAGCGUUGCUCGGAAUCACUGGGCGUAAAGGGUGCGUAGGCGGGCCUUUAAGUCAGGGGUGAAAUCCUGGAGCUCAACUCCAGAACUGCCUUUGAUACUGAAGAUCUUGAGUUCGGGAGAGGUGAGUGGAACUGCGAGUGUAGAGGUGAAAUUCGUAGAUAUUCGCAAGAACACCAGUGGCGAAGGCGGCUCACUGGCUCGAUACUGACGCUGAGGCACGAAAGCGUGGGGAGCAAACAGG
rnacentral:rRNA from 1 species